rnacentral:rRNA from 1 species
GAUGAACGCUGGCGGCGUGCCUAAUACAUGCAAGUCGAGCGAACAGACGAGGAGCUUGCUCCUCUGACGUUAGCGGCGGACGGGUGAGUAACACGUGGAUAACCUACCUAUAAGACUGGGAUAACUUCGGGAAACCGGAGCUAAUACCGGAUAAUAUAUUGAACCGCAUGGUUCAAUAGUGAAAGACGGUUUUGCUGUCACUUAUAGAUGGAUCCGCGCCGCAUUAGCUAGUUGGUAAGGUAACGGCUUACCAAGGCAACGAUGCGUAGCCGACCUGAGAGGGUGAUCGGCCACACUAGAACUGAGACACGGUCCAGACUCCUACGGGAGGCAGCAGUAGGGAAUCUUCCGCAAUGGGCGAAAGCUUGACGGAGCAACGCCGCGUGAGUGAUGAAGGUCUUCGGAUCGUAAAACUCUGUUAUUAGGGAAGAACAAAUGUGUAAGUAACGAUGCACGUCUUGACGGUACCUAAUGAGAAAGCCACGGCUAACUACGU